CCAGACUCCUACGGGAGGCAGCAGUGGGGAAUAUUGGGCAAUGGGCGCAAGCCUGACCCAGCAAUGCCGCGUGAAGGAAGAAGGCCUUCGGGUUGUAAACUUCUUUUAUCAGGGACGAAGGAUGUGACGGUACCUGAUGAAUAAGCUCCGGCUAACUACGUGCCAGCAGCCGCGGUAAUACGUAGGUGGCAAGCGUUGUCCGGAUUUACUGGGUGUAAAGGGCGUGUAGCCGGGCUGACAAGUCAGAUGUGAAAUUCCGGGGCUCAACCCCGGACCUGCAUUUGAAACUGUUGGUCUUGAGUAUCGGAGAGGCAGGCGGAAUUCCUAGUGUAGCGGUGAAAUGCGUAGAUAUUAGGAGGAACACCAGUGGCGAAGGCGGCCUGCUGGACAGCAACUGACGCUGAGGCGCGAAAGCGUGGGGAGCAAACAGGAUUAGAUACCCCCGUAGA
rnacentral:rRNA from 1 species